rfam:Daphnia pulex DAPPTscaffold_1489_Cont12965, whole genome shotgun sequence.
GGUCCUAUGGCUUAGAUGGCAGAGCGCCUGCCUAGUAAGCAGGGAAUCACGAGUUCCGAGUCUCGUUGGGACCU